UACGUAGGGGGCAAGCGUUGUCCGGAUUUAUUGGGCGUAAAGAGCCUGUAGGCGGCUAGAUAGGUCCGUUGUGAAAACUCGAGGCUCAACCUCGAGACGUCGAUGGAAACCAUCUGGCUAGAGUCCGGAAGAGGAGAGUGGAAUUCCUGGUGUAGCGGUGAAAUGCGCAGAUAUCAGGAAGAACACCCGUGGCGAAGGCGGCUCUCUGGUACGUGACUGACGCUGAGACGCGAAAGCGUGGGGAGCGAACAGG
rnacentral:rRNA from 1 species